GCUUCCUGUGAGCACUGGGAGCUCUUGGAGAAGAGCCCAGGCGCCAGGUGUGGCCUCCCCUCGCCUCCCCUCCUCGGGCGGGCCCGUAGCUGCCUUCUGGCCACUUGCUCCCGCAUCUGAGCCCUCCACCCACCCGCGUGGCAGCCCUGACUCCUCUCUUCUCUGUGGCGGGUCGGUGCUCACGUCCUGCCUGGCCGGGGUCCACCGGGCCCUCCGCGCUGCACCUGGCUCCCUGGUGGGCAGGAGGACAGGCGUCACUUUGCAGCCUGUCCUGUUUUUCCUGUUCUUGGGGUGGGCAGCGCUCUUCCCACUGCCUGCCUCCUUGGCAGGACACUCCCAGGGAGUCUUCCUGGGCUCCCACACUGUAACAUACUAGUCGGCUUCCACCACUGUGGCAGAACGCCCGAGAAAACCAAAGCAGAAAGGUCGGUGUUCGGAGCUUCCCGCGCAGGCUGGUGGGCCCGCUUGUUCCUGGGCCUGCGGGGCAGAGCGGGCGGAGCGCAGCUGGGAGCAGAGCGCGAGCCCACCUCGCCGCACGGCGACUCCCGGCCCAUUCGCUCGCGGACUCUGGCUGCGCAGAGCCCCCAGCAUCCCGUCGCCUUCUGGGGACGGCCAGUCCCGGGCAGCAGCGCCCUGGCACACUGUCGGGGACACCCUCAGGAGCACUGCUGGGUUCCCAUGCGUUUGCUGAACCGGUUCCAGUGGUUUCAAAGCUCAUUUUCUUGGGAUAAUCCUAAAUAUUUUUCUUUGAAGAGUACUUUUCCUUGAAGUUAAACACACACAGAAACGUGCACACGCAACCUGGACAUUUCUCUGUGAGUUCCAAGUCCAUCACUCUGUUGGCGACUGUUGGCGUCUGUCUGUCUUCACUGAGAGCCGGACAGGACCAGGGCCUUCCUUCGCUCCUUGGCCUCUCCCACCCACCCCUUCCACCUGCGACCUUCUGCGACCUUCUGGAGUUUUAGUCCCACUUAAGGAAACACAACUCUGAGUCUAGAGCCUCAGGUUCUUUCAGUAAAUCCUAAAUGAUACUUUUGAUGAGGAUCUUUGGAUGGAAAGCUCUGUGAAGAUUAGCACUUCUGAAGAUGUCCUGAAGCUUUCUGCCUGCCCUCUCAGCUCUUGCAGACACUGCGAGGACCCUGGAGCCCCUUGGUUCCUCCCGCCUCCGUGGUGUCACGUCCCUCGCGCUUGUUCUUCGGGGCCCCAGCACUGCCUUGUGCUCAUCACUGCUACUGUCCCAGCUUCACCAGGGCCGCUUGCUCUGCUGGAGAGGUCCCACUAGACUUCCAUCCCCGUGUGCUCUUUUACUUGAGUAGCUUCCUUGUGUGUCGGAUGCCACCUUCCCUUUGGGUGUGAAGUUCUGUGUUGGAUGUUGUUUCCUUUCAGCCCUUUGCAGUUAUUCCACAGGUACUGAGUCUCUGUUGCAGAGGUCAGAUGCACGUCCUCUUGUUUCUCCUUGAGACAGUCCUGCACUGCUUACGGAUGGGGACAUCUUCUAGUUAGGAAGUGUGGGGUGAACUCGCAGCUACCCGUGCACCCCGAGCUGCUGUGCUGUCCCGGGUGAGCAGGGUCUGCUGCAUUGCUGGCAGGAGGUCCCUGUGGGCCCUGGCUGCCUGGCCCAGCUGCCUUUCUCUUUGGUUCUCAGUAGGUUCACUCUCAGAACCAGUCAGGGUUGGUUUCCUUUGGGUUUAUUCUGGUCAGGUUGAUGCUGUAUCCGCAAUCUGUGGUUUAUCUUUUCUCAGUUAAAAAAAAAAAAAAAUCCUCUUUUACCUUUAGCUGCUGCUUCCUGCCGCUGUCUCCUCUGCUCUGGGUGGUUCUGCAGACCCGCUGGCUUCCCGGGCCUGGCCUGCGGCUCCCAGGCCCUCUGCACCUCCGCCAUCCUCUUUCAGCUUCACUGGGAAUACCUUCUUCCCACUGCCUUCCAGCUGGCUGACCGUCGCCUCCGUUUAUUGUGCUUUGGAUUUGCAGUGUCCCCAGGGCUCAUGAGUUGACCAUUUGGUUCCUAGCUCAGCCCUGUGCAGAGCAGGGGAAGGGCUUCGGGAGGCGCCUGGACCACAAGGUCCUCAUUAGUCGGUUGAUCCACUGACAGCGGAUGGGCGACUGGGAGGUGGUGGACCUGGGGCAGGUGCGUGGGGACUGUGUUGUCCCUGGCCCGUCCCCUCUCUGCUUCCUGCCUGCCGUGUGCUGAGCAGCUCUCCUGCGCCAUCCUGUGAUGCUCUGCCUCACCUCAGGCCCAGAGCUGACCUUGGACCGAGAUCUGUGAAACCAUGAGCCAAAAUAAAUCUUUCCUCUUCUCA